GACGAACGCUGGCGGCGUGCUUAACACAUGCAAGUCGAACGGAAAGGCCCCGCUUUUGUGGGGUGCUCGAGUGGCGGACGGGUGAGUAACACGUGAGUAACCUGCCCUUGACUUUGGGAUAACUUCAGGAAACUGGGGCUAAUACCGGAUAGGAGCUCCUGCUGCAUGGUGGGGGUUGGAAAGUUUCGGCGGUUGGGGAUGGACUCGCGGCUUAUCAGCUUGUUGGUGGGGUAGUGGCUUACCAAGGCUUUGACGGGUAGCCGGCCUGAGAGGGUGACCGGCCACAUUGGGACUGAGAUACGGCCCAGACUCCUACGGGAGGCAGCAGUGGGGAAUAUUGCACAAUGGGCGGAAGCCUGAUGCAGCAACGCCGCGUGCGGGAUGACGGCCUUCGGGUUGUAAACCGCUUUCGCCUGUGACGAAGCGUGAGUGACGGUAAUGGGUAAAGAAGCACCGGCUAACUACGUG
rnacentral:rRNA from 1 species